rnacentral:rRNA from 1 species
GAUUGAACGCUGGCGGCAUGCCUUACACAUGCAAGUCGAACGGCAGCACGGGAGCAAUCCUGGUGGCGAGUGGCGAACGGGUGAGUAAUAUAUCGGAACGUGCCCAGUGAUGGGGGAUAGCCCGGACGAAAGCCGGAUUAAUACCGCAUACGACCUACGGGUGAAAGCAGGGAUCGCAAGACCUUGCGUCAUUGGAGCGGCCGAUAUCAGAUUAGCUUGGGUGGGUAAAGGCCUACCAAGGCGACGAUCUGUAGCUGGUCUGAGAGGACGACCAGCCACACUGGGACUGAGACACGGCCCAGACU